rnacentral:lncRNA from 1 species
CAGCAGGGGACCCCAUACUAAACACGUUCUCAUCUACAAUUUAAGGUAGCUAGAGCACCAGAGCUCAAAGUUCUCCCUACAUGAAUCAGCACAGGUGGCCCUUGGAAUAACCCUUUGAAACAUUUGAGAAACAUUCAGCAGAACAGCAGGUAAUUCCCCACAGUCAGAGAAGCAAAGGAAUGAUGGGUCUGAGCAGAGGGGACAAAGUGAAGCGGCCUAGCUGGGGUCUCUCUCCCAAGCUAGAUCUUGGCCAUGGUGGUGGAUGUGGGAAGGGAUGUGGAAAGAGAAGGCCAGGGGUCUUCUUACCAACAUGGGCCUAAUUUUCAGAAGGUCUGGUGGCAGCCUUCAUCUGCACCGCAGGGGGUCCCCCUCUAAAGACAGCUCCAGGACAUGGUCUCCCUCAGAAAAAUUCAUUGGGUAACCUGGGAAAGCAUCAAUAGAAC